UGAAGCUCCACAUUGUCCUGGCAUACGCGCCAAGCGAGGCGAAUCGGAUCGGAGAGUGCCAGCCCGCCGGAGAAGUCGGACCGGAUUCGCCGCUCCUCCUGGCAGUGGCACUCGAAGGCUCCUUCAGCUGUCCUCCAUUGUUACUGCUGAGUUAUUUGAAGUGCUUGGGAAAGUUAAGGAGCUCCACCGAUCCACUUUCCCACGUUCAAGUCUGAAGAAUCUUCAGCUCAGACGUUCACCACUUCUUUCUCUUCCUUCGAUCUCUGAUCAGCAAUUCAACUUUUGCGCGCCAGUAUCGGCUCGGCUAUUACCCAAUUGAAGUGAAAGAGGUUUCGAUGGACAAAGUGGUGGAGGCCGUUGAGGAGGUGAAGAAGGAGUGGGGCGAGGCGUACUGUAAAACCCAGGAGCACAUAAAGGCUAUUGGGGAGUAUGGGAAGUCGAGGGAGGAGAAGAGCUCGCUCCCGAGGUUGAAUGGCCUUGUGCAGGACGGUUUGGCCCUUCUAAACUCACUGCAGUUCAAGCUUGACCUCCUCGCGCCACAGUUGCCCUCCGAGGAGGAUGUCGAGUCCGCCAAGUCUUUGCUUGAAUCAUGGAAGAACCACUACCAAACUCUGCGAGUUAACUUGCGGAAUGCCAAUUUACAAGCAAAGGCCAACAUGAGGAAAGCCGCUCAAGAAGAGAGAGAACUUCUUCUUGGUGGAGGAGGAGAAUCCACAGCUCGGAGGCGCAAUUUGCAGACAAAAGCUGGAAUGACAUCAGCUGCGGAAAGUAUCACGGAGAGUCUUCGUCGCACGCGUCAACUGAUGGUCCAGGAGGUGGAAAGAAGUGCUGCCACACUCAUGACUUUCGGUUCGCAGAUGAAUCAACAGGAGUUUUGAAAAAGGCUGAGAGUGAGUACAAGGGCCAACGGUCUCUGUUAAUGCGAACUCGGAACCUCCUCUCUACCAUGCAACGUCAAGAUGUCAUUGACAGGAUCAUACUAGUUGUUGGAUUUAUAUUAUUCUUCUCUGCGGUACUUUAUGUUGUUUCAAAGCGCAUCGGGAUCCUCACCCUGCAGAGGAAGGUCACUGCAGCCCUGAAGGCUUCUAUGGCGGGACAAGCCAAAAUUCUAAAUGAAGUGAACCGAGAUGGGGCUGACUUUCAUCGAGGAGUUGAUAGGAAUGUAGAGCUUCCCAAUGGAGGACACAUGCAUGAUGAACUUUGAGAUUCAUUAGGUUAAUCUGUAAAAGAUACAUUUUCAUAAACAAGAGAAACAACAUCUUCUAGAGCACCAGAAAGUCCACAUUGUCUUAGCUCCACAUUCUUCUUUAUCAGCAAUCACGAGCCAGUUGAUUGGACGAGCCUCCUAGCCUGAAGGAUCAACCGGUCUCCUCUUCCUUUUAUCUUGGGUGAAGAAGCCGAGUCGAGUGAGCAGGCAUCAAAUGGAAGGGUCAAAGUUCCUUUAACCUAAUUGUGGAGGGCAAACCAGAAGUUCCUGCAGUGCUUUAUCAAAUACUCCGGCAUGUUUGUGGGCAUGUUCGUGGUGUGAACCCUAGCUCUCAAUGCUGUUAGUGCAAGAGUUUACUCUCGACAAGAAUCAACUUGUAAUUACUUAUAGAUUCCUGCAGGAGUUUUUGUGCACCUGCGGAUUUCCUUGUUGAAACUUGGCAAUGUCGUGAAUCCUGCAUAGUGAAAGUCGGCCAUUGAAGUUUGCACAUUAAUCAAUUGUCUUGGUUAGCAA